GUUCCUGUAGCGCAAUGGUCAGUGCGUUGGACUUCUAAUCCAUAGGGCGUGAGUUCAAAUCCCACCUGGGAUG